GUAACACAAAGAUGCUUUAUCCAACUUAUCUGCUGUGUUUAUUGUUGUGCUAUAUUCAGUAUUCCUGUGGACAGACCAUGAUGACACAGGCUCCAGAUUUAUUCACUGUGCCACCUGGAGAAACUAUCAGCAUCAAAUGUAAAGCCAGUAGCAGUGUUAACACUGAUAGAUUACACUGGUACCAACAGAAAUCAGGACAAGCUCCAAAGCUUCUUAUCUAUGGUACAAGCAACAAACACACAGGGACCCCAGACAGGUUCAGCGGCAGUGGGUCUGGUACUGAUUACACUCUCACAGUCAGCAGAGUGCAAGCAGAAGAUGCAGCAGAUUAUUACUGUCAGCAGGGUCAUAGCUUCCCUCGCACAGUGAUACAGAGCUACAAGGGUGGAGUGGUGGUGUUAAUGAAUUAUAUGGAUUAUAAGGCAGAAAUAUUAUCACAGCUUACGGAUCAGACCACCUACAGAAAUCUACCAAGUGACCCGACGUCUGGGUUUAAAAACAAAAUUGAUCAGUAUCUAUUGGCAGCAUUCCAACAAGGCUUCUUGGAUAAAGAUACAUUUGCUUUUCUGACGGUCACCCAUUCAAGGACUCCAGUGUUUUACACACUGCCUAAGAUUCAUAAACAACUCAACAAACCACCUGUCAGAGACCCAUUGUCUCCACCAUUGGGUCUGUUCAGCAACCCAUAG